rnacentral:misc_RNA from 1 species
GGCGGAGCUUUUAGCGUUGACAAGGUUGGUGGUGUUGCUAUCGUUGGCGGGGAGGCGAAACUCGUGCAUCAUCCACUCGGUUUUGGUGCCUUUUCCUGCACUUCCUCGGUAGUAUACUAAAGUUUUCUUGAGCCCAAUGCAGUCUCUGCCUUCUCCUCCAUUUGAGUACACAGGCUUAUCAAUGCCAGUUGCUUUCCAGAAUCCAGACCUCGUCACUCUAUUUGGUCUUAU